GUCCACAUUGGAGGGAACAAACAUCUGGACCUCGUAGUGUUUGUGGGACUGCCUCACACCAACAGUGGGCCAGUCCUCCGCAGUGUUCAGGAGUUUAGAGAAUAAAGACCCAAAAGAGCCAAGAACAUCCCCUCAAGUCCAGCAGCUUUAUUCUAUAUAAAAUGUAAUCUGAAGCCAACAAAAUAAAAAACAUCUGUUUUGUAUAAGCAGCAUUAAAAGACCUGGUGCCCACAUCACGACUGUGAUUUUGUUUACUUUUUUAUCUUUGCUCUUUGAUAUAAAUGAUUUCUUCAUCCACACUCUGACAAGAUCAGGUUUAAAUUCUUUUUUUUCUUUUUUUUAUUAAAAUUCUGUGCGUUCACUAUAUGGUUAAACUCCACUGUAUCUUUACACUCUGAGCUUCAGAAUAUAGUUACUAAAAGUCAAUAGGUAAGUUACUUCCAAAGCCUCUGCCUUCUCUAAAAGGGGUGGGACUGAAUUACACACAUAUUAUAUUUAAAUAAAAGUGCCAUAUGAAAUAUUUAUAAUGAUUUUUGUGUUUGUUCUAAUUAAGCCUUAUUCCUGAGGUUCAUUUCAUUUUUAAACAUUUACCCAUUGUUCUGUAAGAGAUAAUGUAGCCCGAUUCUAUAAUGUGGUGUGUUCAGAUCAGGACAAACUCAUGAUACUUCCAAGAAGUGCCUCAGGUUCACUUUUACAGAACACAGUCUUGCAAACAGGCUCGCAUUAUUUUGAGUAAGACUAUGAAGCAUUACCAGUCAUUUCUAUUGUUCGAAUUAGGCAAAGGCCAUUUGGAAGAAGCUAUUGUAUAAAAAAUUACUAUAAACCAACUUAAAGGGGACCAAAUGUAAAACUGAAACACUUUUAACCAUGUUCCUUCAUCAUUUUCUCCUUCCUUUAUUAAAUAUACCAAAAAAAUAUAGAGAAUUAACACAUAACAAUUAUAAAAAUGUUAAAUUAAAAUGCCAUGGUCAUAUGACCAUUUGUUUUGACUCGCUCUCGAGCACCCCCUACCCCCACCCUCAGAAUAAACAGGGUUGGUGCGAUGACACUGUCCUGAGGUAAACCAGAUUGCAUGUUCCCUCAGAUCCCAAAAGACGGAGGCUUGUACAAGACGGCCUCAUAAGGCCAAAAAUGCUGCUAAACAAGUUUCCUUAUUUUCUGCAGUUUUUAACUAAGUGAUGAUCGUCCCACAUCAGCCGAUCUAAGGUAGGUCAUUUACUCUGCUCUCGACGACUUUUCCAAUGCAAGAGCUGAGUGAUAUCGACCUGUAGCUAGACGGGCGAUUUCGAUUUAAUGUGUCCUACCACAACUAUGCAAAUGACACUGACUAGAACCAGGAAGUACAAGCACAUGCGUCCUGUGCUCAGGUCUCUGCUCUGGCUCCUGUAGCUCAAAGAAUAGACUUUAAAGCAGCUCUGCUUGUGAACAAAUCUCUCCAUGGCCUAGCACCAAAGAACAUUUCUGACAUGUUAGUGCCACAUGAACCAUCUCACACUCUGAGGAUUUCAGGGACUGGCCUCCUGCUGGUGCCCAGAGUCAGGACUAAACAUGGGGCAUCAGCAUUUCAGUUUUAUGCAACUAAAACCUUCCUGAAGAUGUGAGACAGGCCUCUACUUUGACAAUGUUUAAAUCCAGGCUCAAAACAGUUCUGUUUAGCUGUGCAUACGACUGAAAGGUUUUUAUUCUGCAGUCUUCUCUUUAAUGUUAAUUUUAUGAUGAUUAUUUGUGAUUAUUUAUGUUUUGAUUUGUGUGAUUUUAUUGUCCUUCUUAUUCUGUAAAGCACUUUGAAUUACUUUGUGUAUGAAUUGUGCUAUACAAAUAAACUUGCAUUGCCUUGCC
ensembl:lncRNA